ACAGCAAUCUAUUUUGUUAAAUUAUGAUUUAUUAUAGUCAAAAGGUUUUUCGCAUUAGAAAAUAUACUCUUUUGAAAUAUGUUAAGAUAUUUCAUAUUUAUUAAAAUAUUUUAUGAAAAGUUCAAAUCUGAUAUUUUAAUAAUUAUUUUUAGAGCAUCUUACUGCAUAUUAUUAUUCAACUCAUGGCACCGCCAUGUGCUACUAU
rnacentral:lncRNA from 1 species